rnacentral:lncRNA from 1 species
UGGUGAUAAUUAUUUCUUGUUGCUUUUCUUCUUUUCUCGUUCUUUCUUCUUCUAGUCUUGGAUCCUUUUCUUCUCUUUUUCUUUCUUCUUCUUCUCCAACUCUUGAAUUCGAUUCUUCAUAACUUUCUCUUCCCUCCUUUUCCUCUUUUCGUUUUCUUCUCUAUUCAUUCUCUCCUCCUUGGCCCUCCUCUUCUGCUCUUCUUUUCUCUCUUUUUCCUUUGCUUUCUUUCUCUUUUCUAUCUCUUUCAGCUUUUCUCUUGUGAGUUGUCUUUUCACACUGAAACACAUUGGGCUGUAUUCUUUGCAAGUACUCUUUUUCUCUUUCAAUGUUGAAUUAUUUAUAAAUGGUUGUUUAGCAAACUUUUGGGGUUUUAUCAAUGAGCUGGUUUUCUCCCUUUGUUCAUAUCAUAUUAAUAUUAAUUACCCAUUGCCGUCCAAAGGCCAGCCAUUGUCUCACUUUUUGACUCCAUACAAUCUAUUUGUAUUCUUAUUGUAUAUUGAAAAUAAGGUUU